GAAGCUUGCUUCAAUUGCCGGCGACCGGCGCACGGGUGCGUAACGCGUAUGUAACCUACCUAUAACAGGGGCAUAACACUGAGAAAUUGGUACUAAUUCCCCAUAAUAUUCGGAGAGGCAUCUCUCCGGGUUGAAAACUUCGGUGGUUAUAGAUGGACAUGCGUUGUAUUAGCUAGUUGGUGAGGUAACGGCUCACCAAGGCAACGAUACAUAGGGGGACUGAGAGGUUAACCCCCCACACUGGUACUGAGACACGGACCAGACUCCUACGGGAGGCAGCAGUGAGGAAUAUUGGUCAAUGGACGCAAGUCUGAACCAGCCAUGCCGCGUGCAGGAAGACGGCUCUAUGAGUUGUAAACUGCUUUUGUACGAGGGUAAACUCACCUACGUGUAGGUGACUGAAAGUAUCGUACGAAUAAGGAUCGGCUAACUCCGUGCCAGCAGCCGCGGUAAUACGGAGGAUUCAAGCGUUAUCCGGAUUUAUUGGGUUUAAAGGGUGCGUAGGCGGUUUGAUAAGUUAGAGGUGAAAUCCCGGGGCUUAACUCCGGAACUGCCUCUAAUACUGUUAGACUAGAGAGUAGUUGCGGUAGGCGGAAUGUAUGGUGUAGCGGUGAAUAUGCUUAGAGAUCAUACAGAACACCGAUUGC
rnacentral:rRNA from 1 species